GGGCUUGAUACUUGUUGUUCUGAGGCGUGAGCAGAAAAAUCCAACAUAUGAAAGAGCAAAAAAAUCCAUUAAAAUUGGCAUUAGUGGUUUAUACCUAGAAAAUCAACAAUAAAAUCAUUAUUACAAUGUUUAGAGGUUUGCAAAAAUAAAAACAAAGUUAUCUUUAAGCAUCAGGAUCAAAUCAAUUUCCAUUCUUUCUUGAUAUCCAAAACAAAAAAACCAGAUCAAGGGUUUCACGUUGAGCUGCAAUCAUCUCACGCAUUUGUAAAGGCAAAUUAGCUAUUGUACAUAUUAGUGAACAAAUUAAUCAUGUUAGUUUCAGCAAUACCUGAUUGAGGGUUUGCGAGGAUUCAACUAUGGGUUCACAACGGAUGACGGGUUUGCGGAGGAUGACAUAUUCGCGGAGAAAGAUCAACGAUUUUGUGAUUAGUGAUGCAGAUCGAUGGGUUUUAACGGUGGAUGGGUUCGAGGGAAGGAUGGGUUCGCGGUGGAAGAAAAGAUAGGGUUCCAUGCGGUAAGAUGGGUUGGAGUGAGAGAAGGAAGAGAGAGAUAUAUACUUGCGGUUUGGAGACGGCGCGCGGUUUUGUGGUGGAGGAGAAGAGGUUUUCAGUUUUUGAUGGAGAAGAGCUACACAUACGAUUGCCUUUUGUUAGGUCCUUUUUUUUUUUAAUAUACUCCAAUUUGAUAAACACCAAACAUAGCGUUUGUAUAAAAACGCUAACUACCCCCCCUAAUAAUAGCGUUCAUUGCAAAGCGCUAUCUUUGCGAAGCUAAGUAACAGCGUUUACCUAGCUAAAAGCGCUAUUUAAUCCAUAUUUUUUAGUAGCUUUUCUUUAGCGCUCGACCAAAAAGGUUAUUAAAGG
rnacentral:lncRNA from 1 species